rnacentral:rRNA from 1 species
GACGAACGCUGGCGGCGUGCUUAACACAUGCAAGUCGAACGGUGAAGCGCUUGCCUUUUUGGUGGGUGUGGAUGAGUGGCGAACGGGUGAGUAACACGUGAGUAACCUGCCCUCUUCUUCUGGAUAACCUCAUGAAAGUGGGGCUAAUACGGGGUAUUCCGGGUCUGUCGCAUGGCGGGUUUGGGAAAGAUUGCGCCUUUGGGUGUUUUCGGUGGGGGAUGGGCUCGCGGCCUAUCAGCUUGUUGGGGGGGUGAUGGCCUACCAAGGCGGUGACGGGUAGCCGGCCUGAGGGGGUGGACGGCCACACUGGGACUGAGACACGGCCCAGACUCCUGCGGGAGGCAGCAGUGGGGAAUAGUGCACAAUGGGCGCAAGCCUGAUGCAGCGACGCCGCGUGAGGGAUGGAGGCCUUCGGGUUGUGAACCUCUUUCGCCAGUGAAGCAGGCCUGCUCCUGUGUGGGUGGGUUGACGGUAGCUGGAUAAGAAGCGCCGGCUAACUACGUG